CUGCUCUGUUGCUGUAACUUAUCUGCUGAGUGCUGGUGGAGAGUUAUAAAAAAUAGCUCUCCUACCCCCACCUCACAAAAUUAUAAAGUUUCCCAUUCACUAUAUGGCCGAACAAAAAUGAUGUCCAAAUUCUUAUUCCUUAUGUUACUUGCCCUUGCAAAUGAUGUGGAGUCUAACCCUGGUCUCCAAGCUAAUUCUAGUCCUAAUCUCCC